ACUAGCUGACGAGUCCUAAAUAGGACGAAAUGCGCAUCCAGAGU
rnacentral:hammerhead_ribozyme from 1 species